GCUGUUUUUCAGUCUCUCGGUCCCAGCUUUGAUGCACCUGUACUGACCUCGCCUUCUGGAUGGUAGCGGUGUGAAUAGGCAUUUGUCAAAGUGGACGAUUCUCGGGAGGCCCCUAUGGACUCUACAUGCUGUGACCUGCAGAGAGGAUCCAGUCCUGGAUGGGAACAUGUGUGUUGUCCUGUUACAGAGAUGGGAUCUUAUCUCACACGGGCACGUACAUAUGGAACACUCAAUACACUGGAGGAGCUCCUCAAACAGAUGGGAAAAUAGCAAUGCAGUCCAACUUUUUAAGAUUGACCGAAAAAUGCCGGGACCAGCAUCCAGCAGCAUCUGGAUGGCAUCACUGGAAGUCAACAGCCCUAUCUGCUUGACGUGGGGCCCUAGAGAAUGAGAAUUCACGCCUACUUCCUCAUGAUCGACAAACAUACGGCACCUUCUAAGGCAUCUGGCUCACUGGGCUGUUUUCAUUCGCUUUUCAAAGCUCACUUUGUAUUCGGUACCUCAUACAGUCAGAGUCUGGUAAACAUGUACACUUUUCUACAAAUGACAAUCUACGACAUUGACGUUGAAACAACUAAGGUGAAUCCAGGGUAGCAGAGCUGAGGGCCAGAAUGUUGCAUUAAACAGAUCUGUUUGGAAAAUGGAAAAUCCUAUCAGUGUAUUGAAUUCUGAAACCAAAAGGUUGAAAUAUUUCUCAGAGAAGUGGGAACUGUGGAUCCAGUUGAAUAUGUCCUUGGCACAAGAUUUGAACCACUGUAACAUAUAACCAGGUUAUUGAUACAGAUGAAUGUAUGUACAUACGCAUUUUGCAGACGUUAGAGUCUUUAUAAAAAUGCACACAUAAACGAAAUGUUCCAGCCUGUGGAUGGUCCCAAAGAAAGUCUACCUUAUGACUUAAAUGAUGGAGCGUUCAUUGAGAAUCAUGCUCUAUUCUCAAAAGAGAAAUGUGCGAAACAAACUCAGCUCCUCUAUGACGACCUUGAAAUUCUUAGAUGUGAUGGGUGUUAAAAAAUGUCAUUAAUUACAGUACGUUCAUGCAAGUCAGAAUUUUUCAGUUGAUAUCAUGCAUGACAUCUUGGAGGGUGUUGGGCAUGAGGUGAAAUUGUUACUACAGCACUUGCAAAACGAGCAUUUAACCUAAAAAGAAAUUGACAUGAGAAUAUCGAGCUUCAACUAUGGUUAUAUGGAUAGAAACAACAGACCCCCUGCAGUGAAGUUACUUCAGGGUUACAAUGAUUUGGGCUUAAAUGACAUUCAGUCUUGGUGUCUAUGCAAUCUAUCACUUAUCUUUGGUGACUUGGUGUAUCCAAAUGAUCAACACUGGCAUUUGCUGUUUUUGUUGCUUCAAAUAGUGGACAUUGUAUUUUCUCUAGUGUUAUCAGAUGGUUUUACAAUCUAUUUUAAGCACUUGAUUGCCGAACACCACAGAUUGCUUAAGUAUUUGUUUCCAGGAAAUAGGUUGUUACCCAGGCAUAAUUCUAUGGUGCGUUAUCUGAGAUAUAUUAAGAAAAUCAGCCCAAUUCUCCAUAGCUGGUAUAUGUAUAAGUAAAACACAAUUAAAAAAAAUGUAACUAGUGAAAAGCUUUAAUACAUAACUAAAACAUUGGCCAAGAAACACCAAAGUCACAUGGCAUACAACUAGCAAACGUUUGACCAAGAUAGAUUGGAUAUUGAUCCAGGGGAAAUAGUGUCCUUCAAUGUAAUGGAAGGAGCUCAUGAGAUAGCAAACGCACUCCAGGUAUCUUCUUCCACUAAGGUUUUGAGUGUAAAAUGGGCCAAACAUCAAGGGAAUGUUCCUGUGAGGGUGACCUAAUGUUACGUAGAGGUUACACUGAGUGUACAAACAUUAGGAACACCUGCUCUUUCCAUAACAUAGACUGACCAGGGGAAUCCAGGUGAAAGCUAUGAUCCCUUAUUGAUGUCACCUGUUAAAUCCACAUCAAUCAGUGUAGACGAAGGGGAGGAGACAGGUUAAAAAAGGAAUUUUAAGCCUUGAGACAAUUG